rnacentral:rRNA from 1 species
UACCUCAAAUCUAAGAGCUUGGCGGUUUCUAAAAUAAUGAGAGGAACUUGUUUAUUUAUUCGAUGGUCCCCGAAAAUCUUACUUUAAUUUUGUUUGUAUACCGCUGUCUUAAAUAUAAUAAAAAUUAUAUUUAUAAUAAUUAAAUCUAAGAAGUCAAGUCAACGCGCAGCUUAUAUUAAAGGUUUAAUGAGUUACAUUAUUUUAAAAUGUGGAUUAAUAAAAUUGAAUAAUUAUUAUAAAAGAGGAUUUCAGUGUAAUUUUAUUUUAAUAUAUUAAAAUGAUUAAUAAUUUAGAAGUGUACAAAUCGCCCGUCGCUCGCGGGAA